rnacentral:lncRNA from 1 species
GUAUAAUUAUGAUUGUAACCUGUUCAUGUCUGUCUGUCAGGCUUUAUCUAACCUUGACCUCCUUUACAAGGAGUAAGAUUAUGUAUAAUAGCAAAGCCUGUAUAUUGCUAGUUUGCACCAAAACGUGUUCUUUUUUUGAUAUACACUCAAGUGUGAUCAUUAAAAAAAACACGACCAAAUGUGUCCAUUUUGACCCAAAAAAACAC